UUGCUAGAAAUUGAAGGAUUCGUCCACAAGGUGUUCAUUUCAAGCAGAUUGACAAAGAAUCGAACUGGUAAUUAAUUAAACAUUUUACAAUUAACAAAGUAUUUAUUAUGCUAGCUGAAAAUGAUUUGGUCAUAUAUAUGUAUGAAUUUUUUUAUUUUUUUUUGAAACAGGGACAAUUUGUUGAUUCUUCGCACUUGUUGUUGCUACCAUAGUUUGCUAUAUUUUCCCAUUUCUUCAACAUCUUCCUCCAUGGAAUGUGAAAGGUCUUAUUGUUGCUUUGAUCCUACAUGUGGGAGCCUCAGAAUUUAUAUACAUUUUUUACGGUCAAUAAAAAAAAUUAAUGAAGAGAUGAUAAUGUUAGAAUCAGAGAUACAAAUAGGAAAAGAGAAAGACGGCUAGGUCGUUUCGUAGUGUUGUGUUGUGUAAGUCACGGUUUUUUUUUUUUUAACAAAAAAAUAAUAUAAUUUCUUUAUAUUAAAACAUUUACAAAAUUAUAAUUAUAAAACUUUCAAAAAUAUUCUAAAAACAUAUUUGUAAUUUUUUUUAUUUACAAUAUUGGCAAUGUGGAUCAAACCUAUGACAUCAUGCAUACUAUCUAAAUUUCUCACCGCUAAAUUAAACCUAAUGACUUUCGUAAAAUUUUUAAAAAUAGUAAAAGUAAAUAUUGGGGGUCUUGUAUAGUAACAAGUAAUUAUAUUAUAUUCAAUUUAAAAUAUCAGUUUCGAUAAUUAAUCAAAGUAUGUAUAGUAAAAAAAAAAUACGUGCCAAAAAAAAUUAAUUAACCAAAGUAUUUUCUAUAAAAAAAUUACUAUUCAUAAACUAUUUUUUAAAAUCUUUAUUUGUCUCAAACAUAUUUAAAGUUGGGCUCUAAAUGAAAACAAGGUUAAAUUGCAAUUUUAGUCCUCCACGUUUCCUAAUUGUGCGAUUUUGGACUUUCUAGUUUCAAAAGAGCGAUUUUAGCCCCACGUUUGCCCCAUUUUGCAAUUUUGGUCCCUCUUGACUAUUUUGACCAAAAACUGCUGACAUGAAAUUUUUUAAACACUUAUCUUAAUUAUAUUGGACAAUCUAUAUUUUUAUCAUGACAAAAAAGAAAUAUCAUUAACAAAAAAUCAUGGUUGUCUUCUCUAAAGCUUCAAAGUUAGAAAUAUCAACAAUGAUAUUCUGUCAAUUAGUAAGAGAUUUAGGUGGGACAGUUUAUACGAGCAGCAACACAUUGGUUUAGUCGAGCUUAUUCUAUUAUUGAAGCAUAGGCAAUGAAGGAAUCUAUAGUAUAAUGAACUGAUGCGCAAGUGGUAGUACAAGGCUACAAGCCAUACAUGGCAAUCAUGCUGGUACAUCAGACAAUAGCUUUUUAACUCCUAAAUACAAUAACAAACAACAAAUUUAGUACAACAAUGCAGUUACUCCCUCCGUCCGAAAAUAUAACAACUAGUUUGAUUAGUGCACAAUUUUGAUUAUUAAUAUCUUUAAUUGUUUAUUAGUAAAAAUUAUAAAAACUUGAUAUUUUGAAAAUACUCAUCAAAACAAAUCAAACAAAAUCUUAUAUGCUAAUAUUUAUAUCUAUAUAUUAUUAAAAAAAUAUGGUCAAAACAAGAUAAGUGAAUAGUGUCAUUUAGUCAAACGAGCUCUUACAUUUUGGGACGGAGGGAGUAUGAUUUUCUUGUCCCUCUCAAUAGCCUCUUCAUCGUACCACACAUGAGCUAUUAAAAACCAGUUCGACUUUCUUACUACAAACCUUCAACCAGUUCGACAACAACAUAUCUGAAACGAAGAAGAAAAUUGAUUUGGGGAUAUGAGAGUAACAUGGUAGCGUUGUGAUACACAAAGAUGGAGGAAGCAAAGGUUUAAAAUUUCGAAUUUGAGAUUGGAAGAACAAGAAUCUAAUAUAGAAUGAGAAUAAGUGGAGAAGACAACCAUGGUUUUUAGUCAUCGAUCAAGACUCAC
rnacentral:lncRNA from 1 species